rnacentral:tRNA from 1 species
AAAUUUUUAAUUUAAUUAAAAUAUUAAUUUGUGAAAUUAAAUAUAUUCAAAAUACC